CAAAGCCUUCCAGUAAAAGCCCAGCUGGCUGAUGCCUUAAUUUGGGGUUUGUGAAACCAGGAGCAGAGACACCAACUGAAGCAGCCUAGCUUUCUGAACUACAGAACAGUCCAUCACUCCCUCAGAUCCCUCUAAGACAUCUGCAAAAAGGAACAAUGAUUCUUUUAAAAGCCAGCCAGUCUUCCCGCUGAGCAUGCAAGUUCUGCCACUUAUGGCUGGAGGUUACUUCCUGUGUGCCAUCCUUACCCAACUGAAGGUGUCUGACUGAUGCUCUGUGUUGGCUCUCAUAUCCAGCUGGACUACUAAAUCAACUGGAGACCUCAAAUUGACUAUAUUCUGAAAGAAGAAGCAGACAACAUCUGAAUACACUGCUUUCCUGAAAGUCAGGACCAGGACCCCUGGUGCAGGAGUGGUGACUGAUAUGCAGAGGACAAUGCAGAAGGAAGUCAAUGCUCCCAGCAAAAGUCAGGCUCAGGAACUGGAGGCUGUUUGCUCCUUAGAUAAGAGAGGCUCCAUUUGAAUCAGGAUUCCAGAGGAAAAGCAAGGAUGUACAAUGCCUUCUAGAAGGAGAAUAAGGAGUGGACGUAUCUUAAUGCAGCUUCUCAUGAGAUAGCAAGAGGAACACAUCUUUGCCCCUAGCAUCAGCAAGCUUGAGUGCCAGUGCCUUCAAGUAUCAUUGUUAUCAUGUGGUGUCAUUAUUAAUAAUGGCUAGUUGUUUACCCUGUACCUGCUAGGUAACAUGUCCUAAUAAAGGUUACAGAAUCUCA